rnacentral:lncRNA from 1 species
GUGCGUGCGUCGUAGUGUCGAGUUUUGUUCACGCUGUCGACCUUUACUGCGUUACCUCGCAUUGUGUGUUGUGUGUUGCGGUUACUGACGUAAGCGCAAGUUCUUCACUGAGUAUGAUGCGCGGCAGCGUGCAAAUAGUCACCAGAUGCCGGCCGUGCGACUCCGUUCUCUGCGACUCCUUUGUUCGGUGUGAUCGAGGGACGUGAUUCAUGCUUUGGAGACCCUCUUUAGACCGUGCCCUCAUCAAAUGUUUCCACACAUCAGUGAGUAGCAGCACCGCAAUCCUUACUCGACGACACGCUCUGUGGGCCUGGAAAAUGCCUUGACGUUCGAGCACUUCGGGAGCUAUACCGGCGGACAGCCGGACGCGGGUAGCUUGGCCGUUCCUUGCUCUGCACAUCGCUUGAAAACCGGCGGUCAUCCUGCAGCGUACGCUGCCAGCGUGCUUUCUUGCCAGAGCCGCCUCCCCUGCUGGUGAUGACCAUAUGCAGCCAAUGCUGAUGUGAACCUGAGUGAUGAACAAAUGCAGAUCUGCAAAGGAGCUGUCCUGAAGCACCAUGCUUACUCAAGUCAUGCAGCGAGAGUCAGGUAAAUGUUAUGUUUCACAUCCUGCAGCUGUGUUCGUGGUUCACUUGCAAAACUGUCAUAUUUUCAUGAAUUAGCAAUGUGGGGACAUUUUCUUCAAGACUGCGGUUGAGCAGCAAACAGUCGUGCCACUCUUCAUCUUAAAUGAAGGUAGGCAUGCAAACACGAGCACAAGGGAGAAAUCGGGACAACAGAAUUGCUGACUAACAGCUGAAGAAAUGCAGAGCGGUUGAAAAGAAGGUAGACACAAACACUCACCUGCACACGGGCAUGGGGCGACACUUAUUAAUCUGGUAGAUGUGGGGCUUUACGUGAGAGAAAUGUGAUUUCGAUACUAGCGAAUAGGAGCUUGCAUUCAUUGAAUUUUGGUGUGCAUAUACACCCUCGACAAUGCAAAGAUAAUUUAGUGUGUUAGCCACUGGUUUACGACCUCUUACGUUCCGUUAAUCUCUGAAUAACACAGCAGCCCCUCUGUCCUAUGUAGAAACAGCCACAGCUUUAAAGAACCUUAUAAACCAGAGAUACACAGCAAUCAGUAAACUAGUGGGUGUGUCUUGCAAAAACAUAUUUGAGUCUGCCUUUUGUCUAUUCCCGGCUCAUUCUUUCUCAGUACAGUGGCGCAAAUCUUACCCAGCCCAUUGGCAGCCAUAAGGGCAACAUUAAUGCCUUAUCUACUUCUCACUUUCUUUAGCCUAUGAGAUAAGCACUGAAUGUAAGGAACACCUAAGACACGCUUGUUACUAUUGCUUUCUGCAACCACGUUCAGACGUAACAAAAUGUGCUUCUUUAAACAUUGAGCUACUGAGGCUACAAUGCAAGAAUGACCUACAUCUAAUAGAUGCCUAACCAGUUCAUUAAAGCUGGUGUUCAUUGUGUGCACACACGACUUGGUGAGAAAAUGCUUGGAUGAGAAGUUGAACAGUAGUUUUGAAGAUCUAGGAGCAUACUGCCAUCACACGUGGUUCCCCAGAAACACUAAGGUAAUGUCCUGAAAUUGUACUAUUCUGUCAUUAUUCUGAGCCAAUUAUUUAGAAUGGUUCAGCCCUCGUUCAAUCACAUCAAAUUGUCGAUUCACUGAGGUAACCACGGUUUCAAGUUUAUCACCGCUACAAAAAAUUAAUCAUGUAAUUGUCUACGUAAUGAAAAACCUCAAUAAUAUCUUUACCUAAGGCCUCCUCCAAGCAUUUGUUAACUAUGCUAAGGUAUAAAUCAGUGAGAAUUGGGGCAUCUUUAAAUCAAUGCAAGUUCAAUUCUGCGCAUGUUACGCUUACUUGAUAUUUUGUUGUGGUUACCAAUUUGAAUCCAUGGUUACCUCAAUGAUUCAACAAUUUGAAUUAAAUGGAGGAUGGCCAAAGUUUACUGAAGUAU